rnacentral:rRNA from 1 species
GACGAACGCUGGCGGCGUGCUUAACACAUGCAAGUAGAACGCUGAAGCCCUUCGGGGUGGAUGAGUGGCGAACGGGUGAGUAACACGUGGGUAAUCUGCCCUGAACUCUGGGAUAAGCCUUGGAAACGGGGUCUAAUACCGGAUAGGACACAUCGCCGCAUGGUGUGUGUGUGGAAAGUUCCGGCGGUGCAGGCUGAGCCCGCGGCCUAUCAGCAUGUUGGUGGGGUGAUGGCCUACCAAGGCGACGACGGGUAGCCGGCCUGAGAGGGUGCCCGGCCACACCGGGACUGAGACACCGCCCAGACUCCGACGGGAGGCAGCAGUGGGGGAUCUUGCGCAAUGGGCGAAGGCCUGACGCAGCAACGCCGCGUGGGGGAUGACGGCCUUCGGGUUGUAAACCUCUGUCGACCGGGACGAAGGAUUCGUUUGACGGUACCGGUAGAAGAAGCACCGGCUAACUACGUGCCAGCCGCCGCGGUAA